AUUUAAAUAUUUAUUAUUUAACGUAAUAUUCUGUAAUAUUACUCAAGUUAUAAGUAGCAUAAUAUACUACUUAUAAUUUAUACUAUACCCAGGGGGCCUAUACCUACUUAUCUGAUAUCUAUGUUAACUGUAGUAAGUAAUAACCAGUAAGCACGUAACUGAUUGUUCGUUGUACAUUUGAUAUUUGAAUUUGCGAUAAAUUGCCGCCAAAAAGUCUAAUUUCAACAAUGCGUAUAGCAAUGAGGCACGACGCAAACGUGUUGUAAGACAUCGUGAAUCGACUGAUGAAAUUAUUGCAAGAAACAACGCAGCUCAGAGAAUCAGGGCAGCACAGAGUCGUGCACAAGAAUCUCGAGAGCAGAGUGAUGAACGUCUGUGACAAAAAAAACUUUUAGAACAAGAACGGUGCGUGAACAGCAUAUACCUAGACACAUUUAGAGCCCGAGAGCGAACGAGACAGCAAACCAACACCAUAUUAACAUAUUGAUGUAUUUUAAAUCAAUCGACACUACUGUCAAUGAAAACGAAACAGUAAAUUGUCCUACUGAAUUUUUAAAUUCUCUGGAUAUAUCAGAAAUGCCACCAUACAAUCUUCGAUUGAAGAUUGGUUCACCAGUUAUUCUUUUGCGUAAUUCGGGCAACUUUAUGUUGUAAGCUCACGUGUGGGGAAGCCAUCAAAUCUAUUUAUAUUAGCAAAGGACAGGUUAACCAAAAAUAUUGUGCACCAUUUCUUAGUUAAAUUAAAAUUAUUAUUAUAAUUA